CAUGUCCAGGGAGCCUGGGGCCCAAUCUGCCAGCCCUGGACUUGUAGGUCUAAGGAAGAAAUGGGUUGAGAAGCAAUUGGCGAAGCCUUAGGGGAUCUGAGGUGCCCGUCAGCUUGCUUGUUUCUUCUUUGGAGGGAGUCAGGGCUGACCGGUAGGUCUGAGGUGAUGAGACUUAGUUCUCUCAGAACAGACCUCCCUGCAGGGCAGGGCCCGUGAGCAGGUAGACGUGGGGAUGGGGGGACAAGGGAAUGAGGCUGCAGUGGGGACCUGUAGACCACCUGACUGGCAUGGCCAGCUGUCUACUCGGGCGUUGCCCCUGGGAGGCUGUGGUCCCGGGCACUGCAUGACUGCUGGCUUCUGCCCUGGCUGCAGGCGUCAACACGUGUGACAUCAUCACCCUCUACAUCUCCGCCAUCAAGGCGCUGCGCGUGCUGGACCCUUCCAUGGUCAUCCUGGAGGUGGCCUGUGAGCCCAUCCGCCGCUACCUGAGGACACGGGAGGACACAGUGCGGCAGAUUGUGGCCGGGCUGACGGGGGACUCGGACGGGACAGGGGACCUGGCUGUUGAGCUGUCCAAGACCGACCCGGCGAGCCUGGAGACAGGCCAGGACAGCGAGGAUGACUCGGGCGAGCCAGAGGACUGGGUCCCGGACCCCGUGGAUGCCGAUCCA
rnacentral:sRNA from 1 species